rnacentral:snRNA from 1 species
AGAUGUGAAGGCGAUCUAGCUGCGACAUCUAUCACCCCAUUGAUCACCAGGGUUGAUUCGGCUGAUCUGGCUGACUAGGCAGGUGUCCCCUUUCUCCCUCACCGCUCCAUGUAUGUCCCUCCUGAAGCUGCAUGCUCGGUCGAAGAGGACGGCCUUCCCCAAAUAGAGACGGACCGGUCUUUGGUCGAGGGUAUACGAGUAGCUGCGCUCCCCUGCUAGAACCUCCAAACAAGCUCUCAAGAACAGGAAUUACUUCUUUGUAUGAAUGAAUAUAUAUUUCACAUAUAUAUAUAUAUAUAUAUAUAUAUAUAUAU